GACGAACGCUGGCGGCGUGCUUAACACAUGCAAGUCGAACGGAAAGGCCCUGCUUUUGUGGGGUGCUCGAGUGGCGAACGGGUGAGUAACACGUGAGUAACCUGCCCUUGACUUUGGGAUAACUUCAGGAAACUGGGGCUAAUACCGGAUAGGAGCUCCUGCUGCAUGGUGGGGGUUGGAAAGUUUCGGCGGUUGGGGAUGGACUCGCGGCUUAUCAGCUUGUUGGUGGGGUAGUGGCUUACCAAGGCUUUGACGGGUAGCCGGCCUGAGAGGGUGACCGGCCACAUUGGGACUGAGAUGCGACAGAAGCUCCUACGGGAGGCAGCAGUGGGGAAUAUUGCAGAAUGAGCGGAAGCCUGAUACAGCAACGCCGCGUGCGGGAUGACGGCCUUCGGGUUGUAAACCGCUUUCGCCUGUGACGAAGCGUGGGUGACGGUAAUGGGUAAAGAAGCACCGGCUAACUACGUG
rnacentral:rRNA from 1 species